GACGAACGCUGGCGGCGUGCCUAAUACAUGCAAGUUGAGCGCUGAAGGUUGGUACUUGUACCAACUGGAUGAGCAGCGAACGGGUGAGUAACGCGUGGGGAAUCUGCCUUUGAGCGGGGGACAACAUUUGGAAACGAAUGCUAAUACCGCAUAAAAACUUUAAACACAAGUUUUAAGUUUGAAAGAUGCAAUUGCAUCACUCAAAGAUGAUCCCGCGUUGUAUUAGCUAGUUGGUGAGGUAAAGGCUCACCAAGGCGAUGAUACAUAGCCGACCUGGGAGGGUGAUCGGCCACAUUGGGACUGGGACACGGCCCAAACUCCUACGGGAGGCAGCAGUAGGGAAUCUUCGGCAAUGGACGAAAGUCUGACCGAGCAACGCCGCGUGAGUGAAGAAGGUUUUCGGAUCGUAAAACCCUGUUGGUAGAGAAGAACGUUGGUGAGAGUGGAAAGCUCAUCAAGUGACGGUAACUACCCAGAAAGGGACGGCUAACUACGU
rnacentral:rRNA from 1 species